UGAAUGCAACAUUUUUUUCCAGUUCAAAGGAUAUAUCGUCAGUACAAGCCAAGGGAGUUUAAUGUAUUUUAUGUUCAGGCAUUUCUUUGACAUUUCCUUUAGAACUUAUUUCCUGAUCUAUGGCACAAUAGAAGGCUUUCCAGCAAUGUUUGGGGAAUAUUACGACGCGGCUCGACGACUCGGAAAUUCAGCGGGCUCUACGAGCGAGUGAGAGACAUGGACAACUCUGUCACCCUGUGGCAGUUCCUUCUCCAGCUCCUAUUGGAUUCCAGCAAUGAGCAGCUGAUCUGCUGGACCAAUGAGGAAGGAGAGUUUAAACUGCUACAGGCAGAGGAGGUGGCGCGUCUAUGGGGAGCCCGCAAGAACAAGCCCAACAUGAACUAUGACAAACUCAGCAGGGCUCUCAGAUACUACUAUGACAAGAACAUCAUAAAGAAGGUAAACGGUCAGAAGUUUGUCUAUCGCUUUGUGUCCUAUCCUGACAUUCUGAAAGGAGACGUCUCUACCCGAACAGAGGGUGGCGAUGUGGGUGCUGGGGGAAUCCCUCCCCUGACAAAGAGGGGAGACAGCACCCAACAAGAGGGUGAGUCUGGUGACCGCAGCAAAGUAGGCGGUAUCGCAGCAGCCGUGGGCUCAGGCACCAAGCAGUCAAACCGUAACGAUUACAUCCACUCCGGCCUGUACACCUCCUUCACACUCAACUCGCUGCAAAAUGGACGCCAGCUCUUUAAGUCCAUCAAAAUAGAGAACCCAGCAGAGAAGAUGGCUGACAAGAGAGGUCUCGCUGCCGCUGUCACUGCCACAGCCCAAAGCCAGGAGCAGUUGCUUCAGCCACAGCAGCCAGCUGGCUUGCCGCCAUCCGUCAUCAAGUUUGGAAACACCCCUCUCAAGCCAGCAGCAGUGCCGCCUCCUCAGGUAGACAUAGAGCCCACCCUGAUGUCCAGCCACUUGGAUCCUCUCCAAGCUGCACCUCAGCGGGCCGAAGACAUCAGCGCACACUCCUCCCUGCCGUCCCAGCCCGUCUACUCAUUUGAACAAAUCCGCCCGUCGGAUCCAGCGUUUAGCCUACAAGACCUGACCUCGACAAGCCCGUCGCCAAGCCUACUGCCUGACUCCUCCCAGGAGUUGGUGAUUGACAGUGACAUGGAGUCUAGAUCUUCUCAGCCCACAGACACUCAGGCACCAGAGCCCACAGAUGCUCAGGCACAGGAGAAGGUGGACAGCGGCAUGGGUUUGUCGGGAGAUGAGACCAGUUUGGUGGACGCUGAAACCAGUUCAUCCUCGGUGAGCAGCAGCACCACGGUCAGCACUCAGAGCUCAGGAAAGACACGCAAGCCACCGAAAGUCCUGCAGAUCAGCCCGCCAACUCUGCUGGUCACCACCUCGGACUUCUCCCCCAUGAACCUUUGCAGCCCCUCCCUGCCUACUGCCUCUCUGACACCAGCAAUGCUGCAGACUCCUACUCUGUUGCUGACUCCCAGUCCUCUGCUGUCUAACAUCCACUUCUGGAGCACGCUCAGUCCGGUCGCUCCCCUCAGCCCAGCCACCCGCCGACAGGGAGCCCAUCUGUUCCAAUUUCCGUCUGUCCUCACCCCUCAGUUCCAGAUCCCUGUGCACAGUAUGGAUGGGACCAACACGCCCGGUCCCAUUUCUCCAGACCCUCAGAAGACAUAGGAUCAAACCUCCUCCAGGAUCACCUCAUCUGGACCCAGACCCCGCCACCCUUCCUUUGCCAUUCCUCAUCAGUCUGAUCCUUUAAAGUUCGCUGUCACAGAAUUCACACUACAGUCAGUCAUGUGGAGGGAGGAUCUGGGGAAAUGUUGGCAGUCCAUGUUUGAUGGAUGAGAGUAACACAUUGAGUUUGUCUCGGGGCAUUUACACCCAUCGGACGCUAUCCUGUACUCAUACACACUGAUGCCAUCGUUUCUUAUGCACUUAUGGAUUGAUUUUAUCUGGCUUUUCGGGAUUCUCAGUCAUAGCAAUCUGAAGGAGGGAGGAAUUUCCAUGGCAACAGUUGGUGCAUGUGGAUUGGACCCUCAGCAGUGACAAUCUGCUUCAUACUUGGACACACAGACCAGCGGGAUUGCAGAUUUCUGAAUCUUUCCUUUUAUGGAAUUUCCUUCUUUUAUUGUGCAGCAGUGUUACUGCCAAAACAGACACACAUUAUCAGUUUCUAACCCGUUUCCUCCUCUGCUGACAAUGAUUCUGUUCCUUUGUGUGCUGUCCUUAACUUUUGCUAUUGUCGAAGGGUAAUGCUUUAACCUGAUAACCUGCAUGUUUACCUGGAGCUCUUUUAUUUUAUUUUAUUUUUUUUCCAGACCUCAACUUCGCCUCACCUGCCUGAGUGUGUACUGUUUGCUGCUCUGAGAUGUCGGCUGGCUACAGCCAUAUCCAACAGGACUUUUACCUUGACGGUCUUAUCGUGACAUGUGGCCAUAAUCCGAGCUGAACCUUGCGUCCUGCCUCUAUGUAACCGUUCUGAUGCAUACAGUGGAAUAGCCCCAGAAGCCAGUGUGGCCUGCUCUGCCUCCAGCCGCCUGCAGUUCACCACGUUGAUAUACGGUGCCUUACCACAGCCAAGCCCAGGUUUAUUUCUCAAAAGUGGAUGGAGUUCUAUCAUUUUAAAGGUAGUACAAAACUGACGGUAUACACAAGCAUUUUUUGUUUGCUUUUCUUGCCAUAUCUUUGUGUAGACCAAACCAGAGCCCCAGAAGUUUGGAGUAAAACUUAACAGUGAUGUUUUGUGUGCAAGUACACUGCAGCUCACGUGAUCUGCGACAGCUUACUGGUAUGUGCUGCAGGACCUUCAAUCUGCUGCUGUGAUCUCCAGGAUGUAUAACUGUACAUACAGACAGCAACGUGGGUUAGUAUGCCGCGCAUGUAAAUCUAAUCAGGCCAUGUUUUAGAGUUGGCGACCGUGUCUUUUCCAACCUGCUUAUUAAUGUUUGUGACAACAAAUUUAAUCAGACAGUAUAUAAAUAUACAUAUAUAUAUAUAUAUGUAAAACCUGUUUAUUUUUAUUUUUUUGUGUAAUCUCCUUUCAUUUUCCUGUAACGCCAAUAGAAUUUUAAGAUUAAUUUCUAUUUUUGUAACAGCCAGAUAGUUAGAUGUCUGCCAUUUUGAGUUCUCUGAUUUAAUGUUCUCUUUGUGCAUGUGUUUCAUUCAUUCAUUAUGUCGUUUUCCUCUUGCAUAUUUGGGAGGCCGCUGCCCCAUGGUGGCAUUGGCUGUUUUUUGAGAAUCAAAGCCUUAUGGAGAGAAAUCUAUGUUUUAUAUGUAAAGUGUUUUGAUAUAGUGUUGAUAUUGUACAUGCAGAUGUUGUGAUGGAACGUUUGCACUUAAACUUUCGGGGUUCCUGUCGUAUUGGAUUCUGUCGCUUUUCUAUGACUCAUAUUUCCACUUUGAUGAAAUGUUGUUGACGUUUGCUUACUGAGUAAUGUAUAUUUUCCCAAAGGGAGGAUAAAAUUAUGCACUUCGUAUUUUAUACGAUAAAUCAAGUCUUUUACAGUAUAUUUCAAAUAAUUUACAGUUCGUGAUUAGGCAUGACCACACAAUAUUUAUUUAUUUGAAUUAAUUAUAGAGCCCAAUAAAAUUGGCAGCUUAUAUUGCAUUUUUCAUGACAAACUAUAGAAUAGCUGGAUAAAAACCCCGAAGCCCAUUUGAAACUUUCCUCCAUGAAGUUUUGUAGGACUUUGUCGUUUGCAUAUUUCUUCAUUUGUAUCUUCUGAUGAUGCUUUUCCUUCAACUUACCUUGAAAUGUAAAAUCUUGUUUCAGAAAGAAAUGAAACGGUUCUUGCUUUGUUCUGUCCAGUUUUCUAUUUGUUUGAUGCUCUUUCAAAUGUUUACAAGCUACUUGUCUUAAGUGGCGUAUUGAUGUGUGAGAGGCGUAGAGGAACUAUUUGUAAUGGAAGAGAUAGGUGAGACCAAUAAUAAAAGAUCUCUAACUGCG